rfam:Stegodyphus mimosarum contig16036, whole genome shotgun sequence.
GCCUCUGUGGUGUAAUGGUCAAUACGCUCGACGCGUAACCGAGAGGUCCGUGGUUCGAUUCCCGGCGAAGGCG